rnacentral:rRNA from 1 species
GAUGAACGCUGGCGGCGUGCCUAAUACAUGCAAGUCGAGCGAACAGACGAGGAGCUUGCUCCUCUGACGUUAGCGGCGGACGGGUGAGUAACACGUGGAUAACCUACCUAUAAGACUGGGAUAACUUCGGGAAACCGGAGCUAAUACCGGAUAAUAUAUUGAACCGCAUGGUUCAAUAGUGAAAGACGGUUUUGCUGUCACUUAUAGAUGGAUCCGCGCCGCAUUAGCUAGUUGGUAAGGAAACGGCUUACCAAGGCAACGAUGCGUAGCCGACCUGAGAGGGUGAUCGGCCACACUGGAACUGAGACACGGUCCAGACUCCUACGGGAGGCAGCAGUAGGGAAUCUUCCGCAAAGGGCGAAAGCCUGACGGAGCAACGCCGCGUGAGUGAUGAAGGUCUUCGGAUCGUAAAACUCUGUUAUUAGGGAAGAACAAAUGUGUAAGUAACUAUGCACGUCUUGACGGUACCUAAUCAGAAAGCCACGGCUAACUACGUG